rnacentral:snRNA from 14 species
GGGUGUGAGGGUGAUCUGGCUGUGACAUCUGUCACCCCAGUGAUCGCCAGGGUUGAUUCGGCUGAUCUGGCUGGCUAGGCAGGUGUCCCUUCCUCCCUCACGGCUCCAUGUGAGGACAACUGUUGGGGUGAAUGCAGAGCGUGAAAUCAGCCAUAAUACCCGGCUCGCUAAAAUGUAGCACAGAGGUCGCUGAG